rnacentral:rRNA from 1 species
UUGUCUCAAAGAUUAAGCCAUGCAUGUCUCAGUGCAAGCCGAAUUAAGGUGAAACCGCGAAAGGCUCAUUAAAUCAGCUAUGAUUCAAUUGAUGGUACGAUCACGGUUACUUGGAUAACUGUGGCAAUUCUAGAGCUAAUACAUGCAAAACGAGUUCCGACCGCGGGUCCGCGUCGUUCGCGCGACCGUUCUCGCGGAACGAAUGCUUUUAUUAGAACAAAACCAAUCGGAUCUUUCGGAACGUUGGACGAUUCGCGCGCGCGGUGCCGAGCGCCUCCGCGGCUCUCGCCCGCGCGCCGGAUCCGACCGAAAGAGAUCCGCAAAUCUAUGACGAAUCUGAAUAACUUUGAGCUGAUCGCACGGUCUCGAACCGGCGACGCAUCUUUCAAAUGUCUGACUUAUCAACUUUCGAUGGUAGGCUACGCGCCUACCAUGGUGAUAACGGGUGACGGGGAAUCAGGGUUCGAUCCCGGAGAGGGAGCCUGAGAAACGGCUACCACAUCCAAGGAAGGCAGCAGGCGCGCAAAUUACCCACUCCCGGCACGGGGAGGUAGUGACGAAAAAUAACGAUGCAGGACUCUUUUCGAGGCUCUGCAAUCGGAAUGAGCACACUCUAAAUCAUUUAACGAGUAUCCAUUGGAGGGCAAGUCUGGUGC